CAGCAGCCGCGGGAAUACAGAGGGUGCGAGCGUUAAUCGGAUUUACUGGGCGUAAAGCGUGCGUAGGCGGUUUUUUAAGUCGGAUGUGAAAUCCCUGAGCUUAACUUAGGAAUUGCAUUCGAUACUGGGAAGCUAGAGUAUGGGAGAGGAUGGUAGAAUUCCAGGUGUAGCGGUGAAAUGCGUAGAGAUCUGGAGGAAUACCGAUGGCGAAGGCAGCCAUCUGGCCUAAUACUGACGCUGAGGUACGAAAGCAUGGGGAGCAAACAGGAUUAGAGACCCCUGUAGUCCCUGUCUCUUAUAC
rnacentral:rRNA from 1 species